rnacentral:rRNA from 1 species
CCUACGGGAGGCAGCAGUAAGGAAUAUUGGUCAAUGGAGGCAACUCUGAACCAGCCAUGCCGCGUGCAGGAAGACUGCCCUAUGGGUUGUAAACUGCUUUUAUCCGGGAAUAAACCUGCUUACGUGUAAGUAGCUGAAUGUACCGGAAGAAUAAGGAUCGGCUAACUCCGUGCCAGCAGCCGCGGUAAUACGGAGGAUCCAAGCGUUAUCCGGAUUUAUUGGGUUUAAAGGGUGCGUAGGCGGCCUGUUAAGUCAGGGGUGAAAGACGGUAGCUCAACUAUCGCAGUGCCCUUGAUACUGAUGGGCUUGAAUGGACUAGAGGUAGGCGGAAUGAGACAAGUAGCGGUGAAAUGCAUAGAUAUGUCUCAGAACACCGAUUGCGAAGGCAGCUUACUAUGGUCUUAUUGACGCUGAGGCACGAAAGCGUGGGGAUCAAACAGGAUUAGAUACCCUGGUAGUCCACGCCCUAAACGAUGAACACUCGCUGUUGGCGAUACACAGUCAGCGGCUAAGCGAAAGCGUUAAGUGUUCCACCUGGGGAGUACGCCCGCAAGGGUGAAACUCAAAUGAAAUUGACGG